UGGGGAAUAUUGCACAAUGGGGGAAACCCUGAUGCAGCGACGCCGCGUGGAGGAAGAAGGUCUUCGGAUUGUAAACUCCUGUUGUUGAGGAAGAUAAUGACGGUACUCAACAAGGAAGUGACGGCUAACUACGUGCCAGCAGCCGCGGUAAAACGUAGGUCACAAGCGUUGUCCGGAAUUACUGGGUGUAAAGGGAGCGGCAGGCGGGAAGACAAGUUGGAAGUGAAAUCUAUGGGCUCAACCCAUAAACUGCUUUCAAAACUGUUUUCUUGAGUAGUGCAGAGGUAGGCGGAAUUCCCGGUGUAGCGGUGGAAUG
rnacentral:rRNA from 1 species